UGGGAAUAUAGUUAAGUGGUAGAAUGUUUGCUUAGCAUGCAGAAGGCCUUAGAUUCAAUUGCAGGAGGCCCUAGGUUCAAUUCCUACUGCCUAA
rnacentral:tRNA from 1 species